rnacentral:rRNA from 1 species
AUUGAACGCUGGCGGCAGGCCUAACACAUGCAAGUCGAACGAGUGGCGGACGGGUGAGAAAUGUCUGGGAAACUGGCUGAUGGAGGGGGAAAACGACGGGAAACGGUAGCUAAUACCGCAUACCAUCGGAUGUGCCCAGAUGGGAUUAGCUAGUAGGUGGGGUAAAGGCUCACCUAGGCGACGAUCCCUAGCUGGUCUGAGAGGAUGACCAGCCACACUGGAACUGAGACACGGUCCAGCCUCCUACGGGAGUCAGCAGUGGGGAAUAUUGCACAAUGGGCGCAAGCCUGAUGCAGCCAUGCCGCGUGUAUGAAUAAGGUCUUCGGGUUGUAAAGUACUUUCAGCGGGGAGGCGUUACCCGCAGAAGAAGCACCGGCUAACUCCGUGCCAGCCGCCGCGGUAAUUC